rnacentral:tRNA from 1 species
GGAGGGGUGGCAGAGUGGUUGAAUGUGGCGGUCUCGAAAACCGCUGUACCCGCAAGGGUACCGGGGGUUCGAAUCCCUCCUCCUCCGCCA